rnacentral:lncRNA from 1 species
UGGAAAGUGUAAAACCCAGGAGGGUUUUUCUAUCCCAAAGAGUUCAACACAAGCUAUAAGGAAAGUUUGGGUUAGAAAGGAAGAGUCUCUUUGUAAUAAUACAGUAAGAGUAGACUAAGAGCCUUUCCUGUUCUUUGGGUUUUUUACUCCGGCUGUGAUUUCCAAAGAAUGGGGGAAAAUGCGCAUGCCUUGAGCUGUCUAAACAGCCCCCACUAGCA